GAUGAACGCUGGCGGCGUGCUUAACACAUGCAAGUCGAACGGAGCUGUGAUGUGUGAAGGACCAGCUUGCUGGUCUGGAACUUUUCACAGCUUAGUGGCGGACGGGUGAGUAACGCGUGGGUAACCUGCCUUAUACAGGGGGAUAACACUUAGAAAUAGGUGCUAAUACCGCAUAAGCGCACAGGACCGCAUGGUCUGGUGUGAAAAACUUCGGUGGUAUAAGAUGGACCCGCGUCUGAUUAGCCAGUUGGCAGGGUAACGGCCUACCAAAGCGACGAUCAGUAGCCGGCCUGAGAGGGUGAACGGCCACAUUGGGACUGAGACACGGCCCAAACUCCUACGGGAGGCAGCAGUGGGGAAUAUUGCACAAUGGGGGAAACCCUGAUGCAGCGACGCCGCGUGAGUGAAGAAGUAUUUCGGUAUGUAAAGCUCUAUCAGCAGGGAAGAAAAUGACGGUACCUGACCAAGAAGCCCCGGCUAACUACGUGCCAGCAGCCGCGGUAAUACGUAGGGGGCAAGCGUUAUC
rnacentral:rRNA from 1 species